rnacentral:rRNA from 1 species
UACGGGGGGGGCAAGCGUUGUUCGGAAUUACUGGGCGUAAAGGGCUUGUAGGCGGCCAACUAAGUCCGACGUGAAAUCCCCAGGCUUAACCUGGGAACUGCGUCGGAUACUGGAUGGCUUGAAUUCGGGAGAGGGAUGCAGAAUUCCCGGUGUAGAGGUGAAAUUCGUAGAUAUCGGGAGGAACACCAGUGGCGAAGGCGGCGAUCUGGGAAGAUACUGACGCUGAGGUGCGAAAGCGUGGGGAGCAAACAGG